rnacentral:rRNA from 1 species
UGCCAGCCGCCGCGGUAAUACGGAGGGUGCGAGCGUUAAUCGGAAUUACUGGGCGUAAAGCGCGCGUAGGCGGUUUGGUAAGUCAGAUGUGAAAGCCCCGGGCUCAACCUGGGAACUGCAUUUGAUACUGCCAGGCUAGAGUAUGGUAGAGGGAAGUGGAAUUCCACAUGUAGCGGUGAAAUGCGUAGAGAUGUGGAGGAACACCAGUGGCGAAGGCGGCUUCCUGGACCAAUACUGACGCUGAGGUGCGAAAGCGUGGGGAGCAAACAGGAUUAGAUA